GUCCCAACUCGGCCUUUUGGCUAAGAUCAAGUGUAGUAUCUGUUCUUAUCAGUUUUUUUUGUUGUUUUUACCAGGAAAUUUACCAUUUCACUCGUGGCUUGCCUUAUAUAUUAUCAGGCCAUGCUCCUCUCUGCCAGCAAGUAGAAGAUUG
rnacentral:snRNA from 1 species